GACGAACGCUGGCGGCGUGCUUAACACAUGCAAGUCGAACGGAAAGGCCCUGCUUUUGUGGGGUGCUCGAGUGGCGAACGGGUGAGUAACACGUGAGUAACCUGCCCUUGACUUUGGGAUAACUUCAGGAAACUGGGGCUAAUACCGGAUAGGAGCUCCUGCUGCAUGGUGGGGGUCGGAAAGUUUCGGCGGUUGGGGAUGGACUCGCGGCUUAUCAGCUUGUUGGUGGGGUAGUGGCUUACCAAGGCUUUGACGGGUAGCCGGCCUGAGAGGGUGACCGGCCACAUUGGGACUGAGAUACGGCCCAGACUCCUACGGGAGGCAGCAGUGGGGAAUAUUGCACAAUGGGCGGAAGCCGGAUGCAGCAACGCCGCGUGCGGGAUGACGGCCUUCGGGUUGUAAACCGCUUUCGCCUGUGACGAAGCGUGAGUGACGGUAAUGGGUAAAGAAGCACCGGCUAACUACGC
rnacentral:rRNA from 1 species